CCCACCAGACUCCACUUCCAUCAUUGGAGGUCACAUUUCAACUAAGAUUUGGAGGGGACCGUAUCCUAACUAUAUUAACUUCCAAUUUUCAUCGAAAGCCCACCUGUCUAAGAAGAGCUCCUAGACAUUCCCUUUCCCCUUCAACUUGGAGGAAUUGGGAAUGACAAAGAGAAAUUAAUCAAAAGAAGAAUUAAUCUCUCCAAUCAGCCUUGGCAUUUUCUUUCUAUCUUUGAUAUGUUGUUUUUUACAGUGUCUUGGUUUUCAGAAUAAGCUGUUUGUAACUACUUCCUCCACUAUAUUCCAAGGCCAUCACUGGCCAAGCCCAUCUAAAAGCCAGAGGCAGCAAGCAGUGCCCGUUGAAACAUCCAUAAAAGGUGAUAUUUGGUUAGCAACGUCCUACUGUAGACAUUUUGAUGUGGUGGUGAUUGGAAUAUGGUCUGCAGAGAUCAACCAGAAUUAGCUCCAUGUGCCACUGGGAGUGGGAACUGAAGUCACGCAGGAAUAAACCAGUCUUCAUGCUUUAGGAUGUUCUGAUGUGCCAUUGUCGUGAAAUCUUCAUUCAUGAGACAUUCCAGUUUACCGGCAGUGUCGACUAGAAUAUGCUACAGCCCCCAAAAUACGUUUUUAGUAUAAGGAUUAUUUUGAGCUGAUUAUUUUGAGAAAUAGCAGACGCAGGAGAAACUCUGAAGACAGAACGCAAACUUCAGCUAGUGUCUUGAAUUUAAGUCCCAAAUCAUCUAAGAAGCGGUCAUCUAGCUCUCCUUCAAUAAAACUGCAACAACCAAUAGAAGCAUUCAGCGAUUCAGUUUCUUCCUGAGAAUAAACCAGAAGGCAAUCUUUGGCUGUGUGAUUUUCAUCUUCCUCAGUGUAAGAGGCCGCUUUCUAAAAUGAAAACAAAACAAAACAAACACAAAACAGACAAAUAAUUAGCAAUAUAAAUUCAUUUUAAAACAAGACUCUAUAUUCCUGUUCAAAAUGCAGUAAUGUGAAUUUAAUUACAAGGAACCAUCAGGGAAACACAAAUUGAGAGAGAUCCUACGACACAACUGGACUGUAUUCUUAAAAAAAAUUAAUAUCAGGGAAAAAAUAGAAAGGCAGAGGGGACUGUUUCAGAUUAAAGGAGACUAAAGUGUCAGGACAACUAAAUGGAAUGCAGGAUCCUGAGAAAAACAAAAUUGCUGUAAAAGAUAGUGUGAUAGUUGGCUAAACUGAAAUAUGGACUAUGUCAAUAUUAAAGUUCUACAUUUGUUAACU
ensembl:lncRNA DSG2-AS1 DSG2 antisense RNA 1